rnacentral:rRNA from 1 species
AGACUGCCCUAUGGGUUGUAAACUGCUUUUGUACGGGAAGAAAAUCAGCUACGUGUAGUUGUUUGCCGGUACCGUACGAAUAAGGAUCGGCUAACUCCGUGCCAGCAGCCGCGGUAAUACGGAGGAUCCGAGCGUUAUCCGGAUUUAUUGGGUUUAAAGGGUGCGUAGGCGGACUAGUAAGUCAGUGGUGAAAUCCUGCAGCUUAACUGUAGAAUUGCCGUUGAUACUGUUAGUCUUGAGUACAUUUGAGGUAGGCGGAAUGUGGUGUGUAGCGGUGAAAUGCAUAGAUAUACCACAGAACACCGAUUGCGAAGGCAGCUUACUAAACUGUAACUGACGCUGAGGCACGAAAGCGUGGGUAUCAAACAGGAUUAGAUACCCUGGUAGUCCACGCUGUAAACGAUGAUUACUGGUUGUUUGCGAUACACAGCAAGUGACUGAGCGAAAGCAUUAAGUAAUCCACCUGGGGAGUACGUCGGCAACGAUGAAACUCAAAGGAAUUGACGGGGGCCCGCACAAGCGGAGGAACAUGUGGUUUAAUUCGAUGAUACGCGAGGAACCUUACCUGGGUUUAAAUGGGAAGUGACAGGCUUGGAAACAGGCCCUUCUUCGGACACUUUUCAAGGUGCUGCAUGGUUGUCGUCAGCUCGUGCCGUGAGGUGUCGGGUUAAGUCCCAUAACGAGCGCAACCCCUAUCGAUAGUUACCAGCACGUAAUGGUGGGGACUCUAUCGAGACUGCCGGUGUAAACCGUGAGGAAGGUGGGGAUGACGUCAAAUCAGCACGGCCCUUACAUCCAGGGCUACACACGUGUUACAAUGGCCGGUACAAAGGGCAGCUACACAGCGAUGUGAUGCUAAUCUCAAAAGCCGGUCUCAGUUCGGAUCGAAGUCUGCAACCCGACUUCGUGAAGCUGGAUUCGCUAGUAAUCGCGCAUCAGCCAUGGCGCGGUGAAUACGUUCCCGGGCCUUGUACACACCGCCCGUCAAGCCAUGGAAGCCGGGGGUACCUGAAGUANGUAACCGCAAGGAGC